rnacentral:rRNA from 1 species
UACAGAGGGUGCGAGCGUUGUUCGGAAUUACUGGGCGUAAAGCGCGCGCAGGCGGUUCUCCAAGUCAGUGGUGAAAGCCCGGAGCUCAACUCCGGAAUUGCCAUUGAAACUGUUGAACUCGAGGACGAGAGAGGUGAGUGGAAUUCCCAGUGUAGAGGUGAAAUUCGUAGAUAUUGGGAAGAACACCGGUGGCGAAGGCGGCUCACUGGCUCGUUUCUGACGCUCAGGCGCGACAGCGUGGGGAUCAAACAGG